rnacentral:piRNA from 1 species
UGUUUCUUUCCAGUAGUGCCUACUAUCU